GGGGGUGGAUGGGUGGGUGGCGAGCUAAUGCAGUCGAGCGAGCUUGCCUAGAUGAUUUUAGUGGCUUGCACUAAAUUGAAACUAGAUACAAGCGAGCGGCGGACGGGUGAGUAACACGUGGGUAACCUGCCCAAGAGACUGGGAUAACACCUGGAAACAGAUGCUAAUACCGGAUAACAACACUAGACGCAUGUCUAGAGUUUGAAAGAUGGUUCUGCUAUCACUCUUGGAUGGACCUGCGGUGCAUUAGCUAGUUGGUAAGGUAACGGCUUACCAAGGCAAUGAUGCAUAGCCGAGUUGGGAGUUUGAUUAUGGCUCAGGAUGAACGCUAGCGACAGGCUUAACACAUGCAAGUCGAGGGGCAGCGGGGGUGCAGGCUUGCCUGCACCUGCCGGCGACCGGCGCACGGGUGAGUAACACGUAUGGAACCUGCCCGCCACAGGGGGAUAACCCGGGGAAACCCGGCCUAAUACCCCAUGCCGCCCGGACCGGGCAUCCGGUCCGGGCGAAAGGAGGAAUCCGGUGGCGGCUGGGCAUGCGGCGCAUUAGCUUGACGGCGGGGUAACGGCCCACCGUGGCGACGAUGCGUAGGGGUUCUGAGAGGAAGGCCCCCCACACUGGAACUGAGACACGGUCCAGACUCCUACGGGAGGCAGCAGUGAGGAAUAUUGGUCAAUGGGCGGAAGCCUGAACCAGCCAAGUCGCGUGAGGGAAUAAGGCCCUACGGGUCGUAAACCUCUUUUGCCGGGGAGCAAGGGCCGGGACGCGUCCCGGCCCGGAGAGUACCCGGAGAAAAAGCA
rnacentral:rRNA from 1 species